CUUCAGGAAGCUAGACUCCUCCACCAGAGCCUCCACAUUGGCCUCCAGGUCUGAUUUCCGCAGGUUCCCUGCACCGCUCUCCCUACGCCCAAGCCUCCUGUCUGGGCACACCUUUGCCUGGAAUGUUCCUGAAUGGCUGGCCACCUCCUCCAGGAAGGCUUUGUGAACUAGUCAGAGGGAGGCUGUGAUUUCUCCUCCUUUGUGUCAGCUGCUCAAGCAGCUCAUAAAAUACCCUUUCCGGGGCUUCCCAGGACCUCCUGGGAAGCUGGCGGCCAGCAGAGGGCAGCAGAUCCCCACCGCUGGCCGGGGAGGCCGAGCCCCCGGGUGCAAGAGCCCCAGACGCCAGGAGCUGCCUGCCUGCCUACCUGCCUGUGGCUCAGAGCUCGGGACUCUGGAGGAAGAUGCCAGAAACAGUCUGCUGACACUUCAGCAUCCACCCGUGUUUGCUACUGGACGGGCUGAGCUGCCGAACACAGCUUCUCUCCAUUAGCCAUAAAACGAGAACCACGGCUGCCACCAUGACCAAAACAAUAGCAGACAUUUGCUAUGCCCCCAACUGUGCCCCGGGCUGGGUGCUGAGCACCUUGGUUGUGUCCCUGUGUGUCAUCUCCACAGCGACUCCUUGAAGUAGGGAUGAUUUUCCCACUUGACAGGCAAGAGGCUUAUUGAGAUGAAGAGACAUAAGAACACGGGGGUGACCAACAUGGGUUCUGGAGUCCGGAUGCCGCUGCUUCCACCACUCAGCCUCUCUGGGCCUUGGUUUUGUCACCUGUCAAGUAAUAAUAAAGGAGGCUUAAGAGGGAAUAAUAAUGAAAGUACCUACCACAUACGGUCAUUGAGAGAAGCAAGUGAGCUAAAGCAUGAAACAUCGCUGCCUGACUGAUGACCUCCCGUCGCACGGCUAGUAAGUUUAGGCCCU